UACGAAGGGGCUAGCGUUGCUCGGAAUCACUGGGCGUAAAGGGUGCGUAGGCGGGUCUUUAAGUCAGGGGUGAAAUCCUGGAGCUCAACUCCAGAACUGCCUUUGAUACUGAGGAUCUUGAGUCCGGGAGAGGUGAGUGGAACUGCGAGUGUAGAGGUGAAAUUCGUAGAUAUUCGCAAGAACACCAGUGGCGAAGGCGGACUCACUGGCCCGGUACUGACGCUGAGGCACGAAAGCGUGGG
rnacentral:rRNA from 1 species